CUAUACAUGCAAGUCGAGCGGACAGAUGGGAGCUUGCUCCCUGAAGUCAGCGGCGGACGGGUGAGUAACACGUGGGCAACCUGCCUGUAAGACUGGGAUAACUCCGGGAAACCGGGGCUAAUACCGGAUAAUUCUUUCCCUCACAUGAGGGAAAGCUGAAAGAUGGUUUCGGCUAUCACUUACAGAUGGGCCCGCGGCGCAUUAGCUAGUUGGUGAGGUAACGGCUCACCAAGGCAACGAUGCGUAGCCGACCUGAGAGGGUGAUCGGCCACACUGGGACUGAGACACGGCCCAGACUCCUACGGGAGGCAGCAGUAGGGAAUCUUCCGCAAUGGACGAAAGUCUGACGGAGCAACGCCGCGUGAGUGAUGAAGGUUUUCGGAUCGUAAAACUCUGUUGUUAGGGAAGAACAAGUACCGGAGUAACUGCCGGUACCUUGACGGUACCUAACCAGAAAGCCACGGCUAACUACGUGCCAGCAGCCGCGGUAAUACGUAGGUGGCAAGCGUUGUCCGGAAUUAUUGGGCGUAAAGCGCGCGCAGGCGGUUCCUUAAGUCUGAUGUGAAAGCCCCCGGCUCAACCGGGGAGGGUCAUUGGAAACUGGGGAACUUGAGUGCAGAAGAGAAGAGUGGAAUUCCACGUGUAGCG
rnacentral:rRNA from 1 species